rnacentral:rRNA from 1 species
CCUACGGGCGGCAGCAGUGGGGAAUCUUCCGCAAUGGGCGCAAGCCUGACGGAGCAACGCCGCGUGAGUGAAGAAGGUCUUCGGAUCGUAAAGCUCUGUUGACGGGGACGAACGUGCGAGAGGUGAAUAAACUCUUGCAAUGACGGUACCGGUCGAGGAAGCCACGGCGAACUACGUGCCAGCAGCCGCGGUAAUACGUAGGUGGCGAGCGUUGUCCGGAAUAAUUGGGCGUAAAGGGAGCGCAGGCGGGCAUGUAAGUCUUUCUUAAAAGUUCGGGGCUCAACCCCGUGAUGGGAAAGAAACUAUGUGUCUUGAGUACAGGAGAGGAAAGCGGAAUUCCCAGUGUAGCGGUGAAAUGCGUAGAUAUUGGGAGGAACACCAGUGGCGAAGGCGGCUUUCUGGACUGCAACUGACGCUGAGGCUCGAAAGCCAGGGGAGCGAACGGGAUUAGAUACCCGUGUAGUC